rnacentral:rRNA from 1 species
AACCGACACAGGUGGUCAGGUAGAGAAUACCAAGGCGCUUGAGAGAACUCGGGUGAAGGAACUAGGCAAAAUGGUGCCGUAACUUCGGGAGAAGGCACGCUGACACGUAGGUGAAGUGAUUUACUCAUGGAGCUGAAGUCAGUCGAAGAUACCAGCUGGCUGCAACUGUUUAUUAAAAACACAGCACUGUGCAAACACGAAAGUGGACGUAUACGGUGUGACGCCUGCCCGGUGCCGGAAGGUUAAUUG